UUCCAGAUAGUUCCAGAGAGCUAAAGAUGAUUGAGUUUGAGCAACUGAGACAGACAGAAGACAUGAGCAUAGAGGAGUACACAGAUAAAUUUCUGGAGCUAUUACCCUUCUCAGGGCAAGCUCUAGAUACAGAUGCAAAGAAGGCCAGGAGAUAUGUCAUGAAAUUAUAGUCCAGAUACUCCUCAUUGAUUCAAUCAGCUGAGAGGGAAAGUUUUCACACUGUGGUAGAUAUGGCGCGAAGAAUGGAGGCCAGUGCUAUAAUUGAGGGGUCAGUGAAGCAGUCGGUGACCCAGUCUUCAGGGGUUAAGACCCCAGGCAGAGGAGGGCCAGGACCCUCUACUCAGAGUUCAGGUAGUAAGAGAUGGAGUAACACCAAGAAGCCCAAGAAGAACAAGUUCUGGAAUAAGCUGAAAUCCGGUCUGGGAUUAGGCGGUGGCUCGAGUUCAGGCUCAGACGGUGCAGAAUGCCAAAGG
rnacentral:lncRNA from 1 species